GCAGAGGUUUUAUUUUUGAGCUCAACCGUCAAAGCCUUUCAAUGCUGGUACUUUACUGUCACUGAUUAUAAUCAGCUUUAUAUUAAAACAAGCCACCAAAACUGGAACUGCUACCACUGAAUAACGAUAAUAGUGUGUUGUGAACAUUUUAUAAUACAUUUCACAUAUUUCAACAGUGGAGAGGAAGUGAUAGAAAGACACAGCUUCAACCAAGAACUGGAGGAGAUUAUCAGAACUGUUCUGGGCAACCUGGAGAAUCUCCAGCCCUUCUCCAGCACCAACUUCACUGUCUUCCCUUAUAAGAAACGGUGGA